CUGCCCACUGAAAAAUUUUAAAUGGCUGCAGUAAUUUGACUGUACAAAGGUAGCAUAAUCAUUAGUUUUUUAAUUAAAAGCUUGUAUGAAAGGUUGGACGAGGUAAAAUCUGUCUCUUUUUAAUAUAAUUAGAAUUUAAUUUUUAAGUAAAAAAGCUUAAAUUUUUAUAAAAGACGAGAAGACCCUAUAGAGUUUAAUAAUUAAAAUAAGAUAAUUAAUUUAGAUUUAUUAAUUUUAUUUUAUUUAAAUUAUUUUAUUGGGGUAAUAAAAAGAUUUAGGAAAUUCUUUUUUUUAAAACCAUUAAUUUAUGAUUAUAUGAUCCAUUAAUAAUGAUUAUAAGAUUAAAUUACCUUAGGGAUAACAGCGUAAUUUUUUUAAAGAGUUCUUAUCGAUAAAAAAGUUUGCGACCUCGAUGUUGGAUUAAAGAUUAAUUUAGGUGUAGAAGUUUAAAUAUUUGGUCUGUUCGACCAUUGAAUCUUUACAUGAUCUGAGUUCAAACCGGUGUAAGCCAGGUUGGUUUCUAUCUUUAUUUUUUUUUUAUAUUUUAGUACGAAAGGACCAAAUAUAAAAUAUAUUAAUAUUUAAUUUUUGAAUAUUAUU
rnacentral:rRNA from 1 species